rnacentral:rRNA from 1 species
UCGAACGAUGAAGCUGGAGCUUGCUCCGGUGGAUUAGUGGCGAACGGGUGAGUAACACGUGAGAAAUCUGCCCCUGACUCUGGGAUAACUGCGGGAAACUGUAGCUAAUACCGGAUACUUUCCCUGGUGGGGCAUCCACUGGGGAAGAAAGAAUUUCGGUCAGGGAGGAUCUCGCGGCCUAUCAGCUACGUUGGUGAGGUAACGGCUCACCAAGGCGACGACGGGUAACCGGCCUGAGAGGGUGACCGGUCACACUGGGACUGAGACACGGCCCAGACUCC